AACGUAGGUGGCAAGCGUUAUCCGGAUUUACUGGGCGUAAAGGGUGUGCAGGCGGGUUGGUAAGUGGUGUAUGAAAUCGCUCGGCUCAACCGGGCGGGGUUAUGCCAGACUGCCAGUCUAGAGGGCGAGAGAGGGACAUGGAAUUCCGGGUGUAGUGGUGAAAUGCGUAGAGAUCCGGAGGAACCCCAGAGGCGAAGGCGGCUCACUGGGCCGGAACUGACGCUGAGGCGCGAAGGCGUGGGGGAGCGAACGGG
rnacentral:rRNA from 1 species